CUUUUUUAUUCGAUUUUAUUCACUCUGCCUUAUUUUCCGGCCUUUGGUCGACCGCGUAUGAAGUCCGGAGUCUGCAGCAAAUGGCAUGGAGCGACCGUCGAGAAACAAGAGGACCGUUAAUUAUUCGGACUUCCUCGACGACGACGGUAGGGCUCCUGUCUUAUUAAAACUGGGCUCUUCUCUGUUAUUAAUCCGUUUUGUUGUUCUUCUGGCUGGUGCGAAUCAGACGAGGAUUUCGCUGAUGCCAAGACGCCUCCGGUCAAGAAGGCCCGGCCGAGAGAACCGGAGGUGAAAAGGAGCAGCAAGGCCGAGGGCCAGGAAGGGCCACCGCCGGCUCCAGGCCGCGAGGAGAGGGCGUCCCUGGAGGAUUUGGAGGCGGCGCUCGCGCUCUCUUUGCUCCAGGCUCCAGAGACACGCGAUGAAGCAGUGAAAAUCCCCGACGACCCCAGCGCCCAGGCUGAGCGGCUGAUGCGGCUCACCAACUGCAGCGUGGACGCCAGUCUCCAUGGUAACACAUCAUCGCCUUUGCCGCGUUCGCACUGCCCGGCGUGCAGGUGUUCUGGUGGGACCGUGAAUGCUGUCUUCUGGCCCUCAGGU
rnacentral:lncRNA from 1 species